rnacentral:rRNA from 1 species
AAACUUAAAUGAAUUGACGGGGACCCGCACAAGCAGCGGAGCAUGUGGUUUAAUUCGAAGCAACGCGAAGAACCUUACCAAGGUUUGACAUCCCCUUGACAGAAGCAGAGAUGUUUCCUCCCCUUCGGGGGCAAGGGAGACAGGUGGUGCAUGGUUGUCGUCAGCUCGUGUCGUGAGAUGUUGGGUUAAGUCCCGCAACGAGCGCAACCCUUAUCCUUAGUUGCCAGCAGGUUAAGCUGGGCACUCUAAGGAGACUGCCGGUGAUAAACCGGAGGAAGGUGGGGAUGACGUCAAAUCAUCAUGCCCCUUAUAUCUUGGGCUACACACGUGCUACAAUGGUCGGUACAAAGGGAAGCGAAAGAGUGAUCUGGAGCAAAUCUUCAUAAACCGAUCCCAGUUCGGAUUGUAGGCUGCAACUCGCCUACAUGAAGUUGGAGUUGCUAGUAAUCGCGAAUCAGAACGUCGCGGUGAAUGCGUUCCCGGGUCUUGUACACACCGCCCGUCACACCAUGGAAGUUGGUAAUACCCAAAGUCGCUGAGCUAACCGCAAGGGGGCAGGCGCCUAAGGUAGGAUCAAUGACUGGGGUGAAGUCGUAACAAGGUAGCCGUAUCGGAAGGUGCGGCUGGAUCACCUCCUUUAUG